UACAGAGGUCUCAAGCGUUAAUCGGAAUUACUGGGCUUAAAGGGUCCGCAGGCGGUCUGACAAGUACCUUGUGAAAUAUCAGGUCUCAACCCUGAAACUGCUCGGUAGACUGUCAGACUUGAGUGCAAAAGGGGUCGCUGGAACUCUAAGGUGGAGCGGUGAAAUGCGUAGAUAUCUAGAGGAACGCCAAAGGUGAAGACAGGCGACUGGUUUGCAACUGACGCUCGAUGACGAAAGCGUGGGGAUCAAACGGG
rnacentral:rRNA from 1 species